rnacentral:lncRNA from 1 species
UAUAUUCCUUUUCCUUCGUUGUUAAAUGUGUAUUGUGAUUACAUUCUCACCGCUGACUAAGUAGAAAAACUAUAAGAUAUUUUAAAAUCGAAUAACACAAGGUAGAAGACUAAAGAUCAAAGUGAAAAUCGGGACAUAGUCUCUAGAUCAAAAGUAGAACUAAUUAUAUAUAAAUUGCUAAUGUGUUAGCAUAUGUACGUAAUAUGGAGAUGCUCCUACAAUAUGAAAAACUACGCAAAUUUAUUAAUACAUUAACCUGGUAU